GGGGGGGGGGGGGGGGGGGGGGGGGGGGGGGGGGGCGGGGGGGACGUGGGGGUGGGGUGGCGCAGGGGUGCGGGAGGGGUGGGAACCGGCCCGUAGGGUCGGACUAACUCCUCGAAAGGGGUGCUACUACCGGAUAAUGACGUCGGACCAAAGAUUUCUCGCCUUUGGAUGGGCCUGCCUUGGUUUAGCUCGUUGGUAGGGAAUAAGCCUACCACGGCGGCGAUCCAUAGCUGGUCUGAGAGGAUGAUCAGCCACACUGGGACGGAGACACGACCCAGACUCCUACGGGAGGCAGCAGUGGGGAAUAUGGGACUAUGGGCGAGAGCCUGAUCCAGCAAUGCCGCGUGAGUGAUGCAGGCCUUAGGGUUGUAAAGCGCUUUUAACCGGGAUGAUAAUGACAGUACCGGGAGAAUAAGCUCCGGCUAACUCCGUG
rnacentral:rRNA from 1 species